rnacentral:rRNA from 1 species
AUACGGAGGGUGCAAGCGUUGUUCGGAAUCACUGGGCGUAAAGGGCGCGCAGGCGGUUUGGUAAGUCAGAUGUGAAAGCCCACGGCUCAACCGUGGAAGUGCAUUUGAAACUGCCAGGCUUGAGUACCAGAGGGGAAAGUGGAAUUCCCGGUGUAGAGGUGAAAUUCGUAGAUAUCGGGAGGAAUACCGGUGGCGAAGGCGACUUUCUGGCUGGAUACUGACGCUGAGGCGCGAAAGCGUGGGGAGCGAACAGGAUUAGAAACCCCAGUAGUCC